AACGAACGCUGGCGGCAGGCUUAACACAUGCAAGUCGAGCGCCCCGCAAGGGGAGCGGCAGACGGGUGAGUAACGCGUGGGAAUCUACCCAUCUCUACGGAAUAACGCAUGGAAACGUGUGCUAAUACCGUAUACGUCCUUCGGGAGAAAGAUUUAUCGGAGAUGGAUGAGCCCGCGUUGGAUUCGCUAGUUGGUGGGGUAAAGGCCUACCAAGGCGACGAUCCAUAGCUGGUCUGAGAGGAUGAUCAGCCACACUGGGACUGAGACACGGCCCAGACUCCUACGGGAGGCAGCAGUGGGGAAUAUUGGACAAUGGGCGCAGGCCUGAUCCAGCCAUGCCGCGUGAGUGAUGAAGGCCCUAGGGUUGUAAAGCUCUUUCACCGGUGAAGAUAAUGACGGUAACCGGAGAAGAAGCCCCGGCUAACUUCGUGCCAGCCGCCGCGGUAACAC
rnacentral:rRNA from 1 species